rnacentral:rRNA from 1 species
GGGUGCGUAACGCGUGAGCAAUCUACCUUUAAGUGGGGAAUAACCCUGGGAAACCGGGGCUAAAACCGCAUAUGACCCCGGCCCGGAAUCGGGCUGAGGUAAAAGACGGGGACCGCAAGGCCUGUCGCUUGGAGAUGAGCUCGCGUCCUAUCAGCUUGUUGGCGGGGUAACGGCCCACCAAGGCUUUUGACGGGUAGCUGGUCUGAGAGGAUGGUCAGCCACAUUGGGACUGAGACACUGCCCAGACUCCUACGGGAGGCUGCAGUCGAGAAUCUUUUGCAAUGCCCGAAAGGGUGACAAUGCGACGCCGCGUGUGCGAUGAAGGUCUUCGGAUUGUAAAGCACUGUCAGUCGGGAGGAAGGUGAUUCUGUUGAACAGACGGAGUCGCUUGACAGUACCGGCAGAGGAAGCCACGGCUAACUCCGUGCCAGCAGCCGCGGUAAUAC